AUACAAUGCAUGCUCAACAGCCACGUCAGGCCCUUUUGGAAACAACAAGUUCAGGCCAAAUUAGUUUUACACCAAAUGGCUUCAUCAUAUAUUCUAAUAUCCUAUUGCUUGUCAUUUGUUUAUCAUAGGUUCAAUACAUGUAUGAUGAUUGAUGUAUUGAUUUGUAGUUUAGUUAAAAUGAAAGCGCUCUUUGACUCAAGGUGUUUGUAAUCCUAGUUUAGGAGAUAAUAUUUUUGUGAAUGUAUAGAAACAAAUAAAAUGAUGUGUCAAGGCAAAUGACAACAUUUGAAUAUAUUACUUAAGAUUUAUGCCUGAAAUAUUUACUAUGAAAUCCAGAAAAGAAAUCCUGUGGUGUUCAGGGGAAACAUAUGACACUAUUAACAGAGUCAUCAGUGAUGUCAUGAUUUGUCCUCUAAUAUUUAGUAAAAUGCUGCUUGCCUCCUUUAUUUCACAAUAAGUAAGCUUGGUAGUACAUGUUGUCCUCUGGAUUAUUUGCUCUCUUGUGCUAGAAUUAUCCCAUGGGGCAGGUAAUGAUUGCUUAGUCAUCUAUUUCCUACCAAUGAGCAGAUGACUCCCUAGGAGACAAUUAAGGACUUUAGAGUGCAUUAGCUCUGCCAGACUAAUAGAGUGAUUUUGAAGCUUGGCUAGUAGCUCGUAGCUCAGCUUGGCAGGCUGAGGGGUCUGGAGACUGAAGGGACUAAGAAAGCAGUUUAGAAGUCUACAGCAGACCUGAGAGUUGCAGACCAUAACCUGGCAGGUUCUGCUAAAUCUGGCAGGUGUGUUCUCAGUACCUCCCACUGGGGACCAGGAGCCUGCCAGUACAGGAUGCAGCCAGUGCACAAAGCUGGGAAGAGAAGGGCAGAAAUGGAUGGAGAAGGAAAGAAGAAUAACUCAGCAGCACAGCUACGUCAGCUUGUGAACCCAGCUCUAACCAAUCUGAAAGGUUAUAUCUACUCCUCUACUCACCUUUCAUAUUUAUGAGUGUGCGUGGUCAGAGACCUCUAGGUGGAUUAUAAGACAAAGGACAUUCUGAAUGAAUGAGAGCAGAAUGGGAAAGGCAGAGAGAAGCCCAGCAGCCUGGCAUAUUGUGGACACUACAAUUUCUGUCUUUCUCCUGCAAUUUGAGGGUCAAGGAGCCUCCAGAGAUGCACUGCCAGAGAGCCGGAAAGAAUUGCUACUCUGUGUGUGCCCGAGAGCAGAGCUUCUCAAAUCCAAGGUGCACGCAAAUCACCUGGGGAGCUUGUGGAAAUGCACAACCUGAUCCAGUUGGUCUGGGCCCUUCUUUGGAGUGAUGCUGCUGCUGGUCCAAGGACUGCACUUUGAGAAUCAAGGCCUCUUCCUACAGAGUCAGAAUGAAUUGUUUCCAGUGUUCUGACGUUGUCCUUGGGCUAUAUGUGAUCUCUGCCAUAUUCCCAGACGUAGGCAGGCUUCUGGUGUGUGAGAACACAGGCAAGUUGCUGGACCAGGUGAAAAUACUAACAGUCAUUGAGCAUCACCAUCUGGCAGGUGCUGUUCUAAGGCCAUUAGGUGUAGGCUCUCACUGGAAACCUACGACAAGCCUGAAAGGUGGACCAGGGAAGUUUGUUCAGUUGCUCUGAAAUUGAAACCGCAGGUUGUGUAAUAUUUCCAAAACCCCAGUAAAAGGAUGUCAGAGGGAGGACCACCAGCUGCGGAAAGUCUGCGCCUGACCUAGGAGCCCCGGCCUGCACAGGCGUGGUCAGCUUGGCUUGGUGCUCUCCUAUUGGAUAGAAACAGUUUUACAAAACAUUCUGGGACCACGAUGAAUCAAGAUAAAAGCAAGACCUUCUGCAACCAUAUCUAAACAGAGGCAAAAUGUGAACAUGUCCAACCUAUGAAAAUGAUCAAACAUUCCCGUCUCCUGGCUGAUAUGAAUAACUGGAGUGAGGCAAGUAUAGCUGUAGCCUUGCUUGACUCCUCUUGCCUUGUUGAUAAGAUUUAUUAAUAUACCCAAGCAAAGAAUUACCCCUUCUUUCUAACAGCAUCCAACCAGAGCAAAGCACUGCUUCCUUGAACCCUCCCCAAAUCAUUUAAGACAAGUCCAAACUCUAUGUUGAGCUCUUUGUAACGUCCUCUUACUUACUAUCUCCAUGGUGCGUUCUCCCUCAGUGCAAUGAGCAAUAAACCCAACUUAUUUAUCUACAGGUAUGUUCUUGGUGGUCUUUGCCUGGAGGACAUUGACACCAGAGAUUCCUUGAGCUAAGAGAAACAUACUCAGUCAUCUUGACUUUAUUUUUUUCAGGGAGUAUGUGUGUUCUCUUUUCUCCCUCAAGGAAAGUCUCUAGAGCAGCUGAGAGAAACCAAAACCAUUGCCAUGGGAUCACUUAUUCUGUUCCCUGCUUUGGUGACCCGUCUCCACCUCUCCACCCCACUCGCAAGGCUGCCAAGAAAAAAAAUAAUACAAGGGAACUUAGAAGGCUCUGAGAAGCGUUUCGUCUCCCUUUUCCAUUUCUACAACUCAGCGUGAAAUAUUGCGAACCCAGAAUGAUACAUACAGUAGCCUCCAAGUUCAGACAAGAACCUGGCCUACUCCAGCUUAUUUUCAUUUUAAAUCCAGCCCAUUUUUAUUUUUGCCAGUGUAAAGCAUGGACUUCAGUGUAAAGGAACAUGCAUCUUUCUCACAUGGCGUUACAACUCAUCUAAAUCUAUAAGGAGUGGCCUGAAAUUUAGAUAGGCUACAAGGUACUUUUCUGGUAAUAAAUGUGGCACCAGGUGGGCCAACUUGAUGCUAGAAAAAGAACAGUUACUUGAUUGAGACUGAAAAGACUGGAAUUUUAGUCAGAGUUUCCCACAAACCACCACUUUGACCUCAGGAAAGCCAUAAUCUCUAAGCUUAAAUUCCCCAUCAACAGUUAAACAUUUUUCAGAGCGUACUCCGUGCCAGGUAGCAGGAUAAGCUGCUCGUGCCAUCUGCCCAGUAACUUAUACACAGUACAACGUGACAGGCAUUAUACAGGGAUGAGUAACAAAGUACUAUAGGCGCUCUGAGGAGAAAGGCCCAACUCACCCCGUGUGGUCACGGAAAAUGACUGCAUUUCCUUACACACAAAAGACCCCAAGGUCUUGAACCAGGCUACUUAGAUUCUCCUCUGGCUCAGCUUAGCAGGGCUGGGCAAUCCAUUCAAGCCUGGGUUUUGUCAUCUGUAAAAUGGACAUAAUAGUUGCACCUAUCUCAUAGGAUAGUAUGAGGACGACGCUAAUGUGCAUGCACUAACUGUAGAGGACAGUGUUUGGCGUGUAGUAACCACUUCAAGACAUGCUUAAUGUUGUUGUUUUUGUUUCUGUUAGACCUGUUAAGUAAUCUUCAAGCUCCUCACAAAUCCAAACCCCAAUCACCCCUCCCAGGGAGGAAGCAAAGCGUCUGAAGUCCUUCCUUUGAAAAAAAAUGUGAGCUUUGGAAAAUAUGACAUCUUUCCAGGAUCACGAGUGAUUUUUAAUAAAAUUUACACUUGAAGAAUGGAAUUUUUCUCUAAGCCAAGAAAGGAGGCAAACCUAAGAGGAAAGCAUUUCACUCCACCAACACAUGGAUCUAAGCUCUGUGGGAACAGGACUUUGUCUCAUUCGUCUCUGCCUCUCUGGCACUGACAGCAGUGUCCAGCAUAGUGCAGACUCAACCAAUAGUUGUUGAAUGAAUAAAUGAAUGUUUACCACAUAAAGACAAAUAUAUAUUUUUUCUUUUCUGUUACUUUGAAUAUUUUAUAAACAAAGAGUUCUGAUUUAAUAGAAAGAGAGAAUUCUCAAUCUAUUUUCCCCCAUAGACCUAAGAGAUAUGAUGAACCUACAUUAAUGAUGUUUAAUUACAGGAGCAAUAAGACUCAGCUCAGGGUGGAAGAGCAAAAGAGGGAAGCAUGGGUGUUUGGGGGCAUAUCAGAAUCACAGGGGUAAUACGUAUUGUGGGAAAGCCCCUAGAGAUUCUGACUCACCCAAAGUGAGCACAGCCCCCAACUGCCCUUUGACAAUCACUGACAUUGAUGGAAAUCUCAAGUGGUGAUUCCCAGGCUCUAACCUCAUUCAAUUUUAUCAAUGACUUGGAUAAGGAUAUACAUAGUAUACUUAGAAAAUUUGUCAAUGACACAAAUCUGGAUGGGAGAACAGAUAUUAAACACAGAAGAGAAAAAUUAAGAUCUGAAGGAUCUCAGCUAGUAGAAUCAUGAGAUCAUUCUAAGAAAGAGAAUUUUCUGUGUAAGAAUUCUACUAUACAGAUAGAGAAUGUGAGGUGAGUUUCAGGAGAGGUAUAUAGUUUAAUAGUGAAAUAUGUGAAAAAAACUGAGGGAGUAUAGUCAAGAGUAAAUUCAACAUGAAUCAACUGAGUGAUUUGAAAGCAAAAUAACUAUCUUGGCACUUAAGAGAAAUUAAUAGAAAUAGUGUUUAGGACAAUGGAUGUGAUUGACCCAUUUUACCCUUCUCUGAUCAGACUACACAUGGACAUUUGUUUACUUAAUUUCUUUUUUUAAAAUUUUUACUUGGGGGCCGGCCCCGUGGCCGAGUGGUUAAGUUUGCACGCUCCGCUGCAGUGGCCCAGGGUUUCGCCAGUUCGGAUCCUGA